rnacentral:rRNA from 1 species
AUUGAACGCUGGCGGCAUGCCUUACACAUGCAAGUCGAACGGCAGCGGACCUUCGGGUGCCGGCGAGUGGCGAACGGGUGAGUAAUAUAUCGGAACGUACCUUUCAGUGGGGGAUAACGUAGCGAAAGUUACGCUAAUACCGCAUAUUCUGUGAGCAGGAAAGCAGGGGAUCGCAAGACCUUGCGCUGAUUGAGCGGCCGAUAUCAGAUUAGCUAGUUGGUGAGGUAAAGGCUCACCAAGGCGACGAUCUGUAGCGGGUCUGAGAGGAUGAUCCGCCACACUGGAACUGAGACACGGUCCAGACUCCUACGGGAGGCAGCAGUUGGGGAAUUUUGGACAAUGGGCGGCAAGACCUGAUCC